rnacentral:rRNA from 1 species
CAGCAGCCGCGGUAAUACGUAGGGUGCGAGCGUUAAUCGGAAUUACUGGGCGUAAAGCGUGCGCAGGCGGUUGUGUAAGACAGGUGUGAAAUCCCCGGGCUUAACCUGGGAACUGCGCUUGUGACUGCACAGCUAGAGUAUGGCAGAGGGGGGUGGAAUUCCACGUGUAGCAGUGAAAUGCGUAGAGAUGUGGAGGAACACCGAUGGCGAAGGCAGCCCCCUGGGCCAAUACUGACGCUCAUGCACGAAAGCGUGGGGAGCAAACAGGAUUAGAUACCCGAGUAGUCCCUGUCUCUUAUAC